GGGGGUGUAGCUCAGCAGGCUAGAGCGCGUGAAUGGCAUUCACGAGGUCACGGGUUCGAUUCCCGUCACCUCCA
rnacentral:tRNA from 1 species